ACUAGUUAAGUUGCAGUGAUUAAGCCAUUCAUUGAAUAUGCAUUGAAUACUUUUCUAUUUAUUUUAGAGUGAGUUGCUUUUUAACCAAUGUAUCAGGAUAUUAAUAAGGAUCAUGUUUUGAAGCAGCAUGUCCAGAUCACUUUGUAUAUAAAAUUUCGUUAGGUUAAAUAAAUCUGCUUGGAGGAAAGCUUAAAAAAAUCA
rnacentral:lncRNA from 1 species